rnacentral:rRNA from 1 species
CGGCCGCGGUAUCCUGACCGUGCAAAGGUAGCAUAAUCAUUUGUUCCUUAAUUAGGGACUUGUAUGAAUGGCUUAACGAGGGUUUAACUGUCUCUUACUUUUAAUCAGUGAAAUUGACCUUCCCGUGAAGAGGCGGGAAUAAAUUAAUAAGACGAGAAGACCCUAUGGAGCUUAAAUUGAAUUCUGAAUAAUAAAUUUUGGUUGGGGUGACCUCGGAGCACAAAAUAACCUCCGAGAAUUAGCUAAGACUUACCCGUCUAAGCCAAAUCAUUUUGAUCAACGGAAUAAGUUACCCUAGGGAUAACAGCGCAAUCCUAUUUAAGAGUUCAUAUCGACAAUAGGGUUUACGACCUCGAUGUUGGAUCAGGACACCCAAAUGGUGCAACAGCU